rnacentral:rRNA from 1 species
GGUUACCUUGUUACCACUUCACCCCAGUCAUGAAACACAUAGUGGUAAUCCUCCUCCCGGAAUGUAAGACCAACUUCUUCUUCUGCAUCCCCCUCCCAUGGUGUGACCGGCGGUGUGUACGACGCCCAGGAUCUUAUUCACCGCAGUCUUCUGACCUACGACUACUAACGAUUCCGACUUCGAGUAGUCUAGUUGCAGACUCCCAUCAGGACUACGACCUUCUAUGGGGGGUCCGCUCCACAUCACUGUCUCGCUUCCCUCUGU